UGGGGAAUAUUGCACAAUGGGCGCAAGCCUGAUGCAGCCAUGCCGCGUGUAUGAAGAAGGCCUUCGGGUUGUAAAGUACUUUCAGCGGGGAGGAAGGGAGUAAAGUUAAUACCUUUGCUCAUUGACGUUACCCGCAGAAGAAGCACCGGCUAACUCCGUGCCAGCAGCCGCGGUAAUACGGAGGGUGCAAGCGUUAAUCGGAAUUACUGGGCGUAAAGCGCACGCAGGCGGUCUGUCAAGUCGGAUGUGAAAUCCCCGGGCUCAACCUGUGAACUGCAUUCGAAACUGGCAGGCUAGAGUCUUGUAGAGGGGGGUAGAAUUCCAGGUGUAGCGUUGAAAUGCGUAGAGAUCUGGAGGAAUACCGGUGGCGAAGGCGGCCCCCUGGACAAAGACUGACGCUCAAGUGCGAAAGCGUGGGGAGCAAACAGG
rnacentral:rRNA from 1 species